rnacentral:antisense_RNA from 1 species
GACUGCCAUCAAGGAUUCAUUCUGCGAACCCUGACCAACCGCCAGAUAAGAAUUCAUGCCCAGCUCUUUCAUCUGUUCUUCACCAAUGACUUUGGUUAUCAGAUUAGCUGCGUUGUCAGCAAGCUGGCGCGCCUGUGAUGCCAAAUACGCGGCAUUACAGAUGUUGGGUGGCAUAUUGGCCAAAUCUUUCGU